GUGCUAAUGACGGUGAGGGUCCACCCGUUCCCAUUCCGAACACGGUAGUUAAGCUCACUGGUGCCGAAAAUACUUGGCGGGUGACCGCCUGGGAAGAUAGGACGGCGC
rnacentral:rRNA from 1 species